AUCCGGCUGAUGAGUUCCAAAUGGGACGAAACGCGCAUCCUGGAU
rnacentral:hammerhead_ribozyme from 1 species